rnacentral:rRNA from 1 species
AUACGUAGGUGGCAAGCGUUGUCCGGAUUUAUUGGGCGUAAAGCGAGUGCAGGCGGUCUUUUAAGUCUGAUGUGAAAGCCUUCGGCUUAACCGAAGAAGGGCAUCGGAAACUGGGAGACUUGAGUGCAGAAGAGGAGAGUGGAACUCCAUGUGUAGCGGUGAAAUGCGUAGAUAUAUGGAAGAACACCAGUGGUGAAGGCGGCUGCCUGGUCUGUAACUGACGCUGAGGCUCGAAAGUAUGGGUAGC